CGCGGGGUGGAGCAGCUCGGUAGCUCGUCGGGCUCAUAACCCGAAGGUCGCAGGUUCAAAUCCUGCCCCCGCCA
rnacentral:tRNA from 3 species